rnacentral:rRNA from 1 species
UACGUAGGUGGCAAGCGUUUGUCCGGAUUUAUUGGGUUUAAAGGAUGCGUAGGCGGCCUUGUAAGUCAGUGGUGAAAUACUCCAGCUUAACUGGAGGGGUGCCAAUGAUACUGCAGGGCUUGAGUACAGAUGAGGUAGGCGGAAUUGACGGUGUAGCGGUGAAAUGCAUAGAUAUCGUCAAGAACACCGAUAGCGAAGGCAGCUUACUGGGCUGUAACUGACGCUGAGGCACGAAAGUGUGGGGAUCAAACAGG